rnacentral:rRNA from 1 species
CAGCCGCCGCGGGAAUACGUAGGUGGCGAGCGUUGUCCGGAUUUAUUGGGCGUAAAGGGAGUGUAGGCGGUCUUUUAAGUCUGAUGUGAAAGCCCACGGCUCAACCGUGGAGGGUCAUUGGAAACUGGGAGACUUGAGUGCAGAAGAGGAGAGCGGAAUUCCAUGUGUAGCGGUGAAAUGCGUAGAUAUAUGGAGGAACACCAGUGGCGAAGGCGGCUCUCUGGUCUGUAACUGACGCUGAGGCUCGAAAGCGUGGGGAGCAAACAGGAUUAGAUACCCGGGUAGUCCCUGUCUCUUAUAA